AAACUCCAGAUUCCUUGCAUAUCGGGUGCAAACACUAGUCCAAGUGGUGAUAAAAGGAGAUAAAGUAACACUGAAAUGGAAUUAAAUUAUGUUGUGACACACAGCUAGUUCCAAAGAAACAAAC
rnacentral:snoRNA from 1 species